rnacentral:rRNA from 1 species
UACGAAGGGGGCUAGCGUUGCUCGGAAUUACUGGGCGUAAAGGGCGCGUAGGCGGAUGUCUUAGUCAGAGGUGAAAGCCCAGGGCUCAACCUUGGAACUGCCUUUGAUACUGGACAUCUUGAGUACGGGAGAGGUGAGUGGAACUCCGAGUGUAGAGGUGAAAUUCGUAGAUAUUCGCAAGAACACCAGUGGCGAAGGCGGCUCACUGGCCCGGAACUGACGCUGAGACGCGAAAGCGUGGGGAGCAAACAGG